ACGAACGCUGGCGGCGUGCUUAACACAUGCAAGUCGAACGGAGAGGCCCUGCUUUUGUGGGGUGCUCGAGUGGCGAACGGGUGAGUAACACGUGAGUAACCUGCCCUUGACUUUGGGAUAACUUCAGGAAACUGGGGCUAAUACCGGAUAGGAGCUCCUGCUGCAUGGUGGGGGUUGGAAAGUUUCGGCGGUUGGGGAUGGACUCGCGGCUUAUCAGCUUGUUGGUGGGGUAGUGGCUUACCAAGGCUUUGACGGGUAGCCGGCCUGAGAGGGUGACCGGCCACAUUGGGACUGAGAUACGGCCCAGACUCCUACGGGAGGCAGCAGUGGGGAAUAUUGCACAAUGGGCGGAAGCCUGAUGCAGCAACGCCGCGUGCGGGAUGACGGCCUUCGGGUUGUAAACCGCUUUCGCCUGUGACGAAGCGUGAGUGACGGUAAUGGGUAAAGAAGCACCGACUAACUACGUG
rnacentral:rRNA from 1 species